rnacentral:rRNA from 1 species
ACCACGUUGAUAGGCUGGAUGUGGAAGCGCAGUAAUGUGUGCAGCUGACCAGUACUAAUAGCUCAAUUGGCUUGAUUUAUG